UCCUUGGUGGUCCAGUGGUUAAGAAUCUGCCUUGCAAUGCAGAGGACACAGGUUCAAUCCCUGGUCAGGGAA
rnacentral:tRNA from 1 species